rnacentral:rRNA from 1 species
UGAGUGCGAGCGGCUACGGCCGCGAAGUGGGUGAUGUCAAGCUUCCAAGAAAAGCCCUAUACCCGUUAAGGCAUGAUGGACUGUACCCGAAACCGACACAGGUGGGGUGGUAGAGAAUUCCGAGGGGCGCGAGGUAACUCUCUCUAAGGAACUCGGCAAAAUGGCCCCGUAACUUCGGGAGAAGGGGUGCCACCGCAAGGUGGUCGCAGUGAAGAGGCCCAGGCGACUGUUUACCAAAAACACAGGUCUCCGCUAAGUCGCAAGACGAUGUAUGGGGGCUGACGCCUGCCCAGUGCCGGAAGGUUAAGGAAGCUGGUCAGCGCAAGCGAAGCUGGCGACUGAAGCCCCGGUGAACGGCGGCCGUAACAAUAACGGUCCUAAGGUAGCGAAAUUCCUUGUCGGGUAAGUUCCGACCCGCACGAAAGGCGUAGCGAUCUGGGCGCUGUCUCGGAGAGAGGCUCGGCGAAAUAGAAUUGUCUGUGAAGAUGCGGACUACGUGCACCCGGACAGAAAGACCCUAUGAAGCUUUACUGUAGCUUGGUAUUGUGCCCGGGCUCUGAAUGCGCAGGAUAGGUGGGAGGCUUUGAUCCAUGGCUUGCGGGUCAUGGUGAGCCAACGGUGAGAUACCACUCUUUCAGAGCUAGGGUUCUAACGGUCACCCGUCAUCCGGGGACCGGACAGUAUCAGGUGGGCAGUUUGACUGGGGCGGUCGCCUCCUAAAAGGUAACGGAGGCGCGCAAAGGUUUGCUCAGGCUGGUUGGAAAUCAGCCGACGAGUGCAAAAGCAGAAGCAAGCUUGACUGUGAGACCUACAAGUCGAACAGGGACGAAAGUCGGCUUUAGUGAUCCGACGGUUCUGAGUGGAAGGGCCGUCGCUCAACGGAUAAAAGUUACUCUAGGAUAACAGGCUGAUCUCCCCCAAGAGUUCACAUCGACGGGGAGGUUUGGCACCUCGAUGUCGGCUCAUCGCAACCUGGGGCUGAAGUCGGUCCCAAGGGUUGGGCUGUUCGCCCAUUAAAGCGGUACGCGAGCUGGGUUCAGAACGUCGUGAGACAGUUCGGUCCAUAUCCGGUGCACGCGCAGGAACAUUGAGAGGAUUUCUCCCUAGUACGAGAGGACCGGGAGGAACGCACCUCUGGUGUGCCAGUUAUCGUGCCAACGGUAAACGCUGGGUAGCCAUGUGCGGAGUGGAUAACCGCUGAAAGCAUCUAAGUGGGAAGCCCACCUCAAGAUGAGUGUUCCCAUGGCAUAAGCCAGUAAGGUCACGGGAAGAACACCCGUUGAUAGGCUCUACGUGGAAGCCGGGUAACCGGUGAAGCGGAGGAGUACUAAUAGACCGAGGGCUUGACC